CAGCAGUCGCCACGGUAAUACGGAGGGUGCAAGCGUUAUCCGGAUUUAUUGGGUUUAAAGGGUCCGUAGGCGGAUCUGUAAGUCAGUGGUGAAAUCUCACAGCUUAACUGUGAAACUGCCAUUGAUACUGCAGGUCUUGAGUAAAUUUGAAGUGGCUGGAAUAAGUAGUGUAGCGGUGAAAUGCAUAGAUAUUACUUAGAACACCAAUUGCGAAGGCAGGUCACUAAGAUUUAACUGACGCUGAUGGACGAAAGCGUGGGGAGCGAACAGGAUUAGAUACCCCUGUAGUCCCUGUCUCUUAUAC
rnacentral:rRNA from 1 species